UGGAUGAGGAGGCAUCCAUCUUCACGACUCUCUGUUUCCAUGGGUGAUGCCUGCUGCUGCUGCUCCCGUCAGUCUUAGAUACCACCAUGUCCACCUUCACAAUGUGAUGAUCCGAAGUGCCUUUGGAUGAGAGCACACCGUCCCCUGCACAUCUACAAGUAGAAUUGAGAGCAGAACCAUUACUUCUCCUGCAGCAAUCUGAGCUCGAGCACAACCAACUGGUGGGGGAAUGGUUGAUUACCUUGCCCCUUGGCGACCACAACAACAGCUUCACAUUCCCCUGCGAAGUUCUUGGCAUCCAGGUACUGUUUCCCCCUUAGGAACUUCAUCACCUCAACUUUGGGCGUUGGCUUCCCAAUUUCUUCAUAAUACUGCAAGAGAUCAGUAAUGUUCAGAAGCUUUGCGUGGUCCAAAGAGAUGGCCUCCCCAACUUCUGCAGACAAGGAUUCAUAGGAAGACUACCUUGACGAUAUCAGCCCAUCUCUCUGCAGAGUAGUCUGUUUCAUCAAGAGAGUUGAGGCCACCAACCAGGAUGUGAGGUCGGUCACUGGAACGUAAUAUCGAGUUGAUCUGUUUCAUCCUCCAGUUCUCGUCGAGGUGAUCGAGAUGGGUGCAAUGGAAUUCUACUUCUCCUGCUCCGGGGACCUCGAUGGUGGCUUUCAGCACAUUCCUGUUCGAAGAUUUGCAGUUUUCUUGAGCAUGUGAACGAGUUCUUACGUGAUCAUCCACAAACAAGCCAUUAAGGAUACUUUCGGAUGCUGGUCAAUCUUGGUUUAGCAAUUGAGGAAAGAAAAAUGGAAGGAUCUGACUAGAUUGUGAGAACAGCAACGAUGUUCGUGAUACCGAACAUCAGAAAGUAGGGAUGAUUGAUCUCUCAGAGAGGCGAUGAGCUCUUUAAUCUAUACAGUAACAAAUAUUAGAACACCCGAAAGCUGCUUUCAGCUAGCUCUAACUAUGAUUGCCCCAGUCAUCUAAUCUACAAGGUAAAACACAUUAAAUCUUUCUCUGGAUGUCAAAAAGAUUUCCUAGGGAAGCCAGGAUAUAUAGAACUCUGCAAUCAGAGCCAAGAAAUUGGUGAAGGAAACGUGUUCCUUUUGCAGAAGAAAGAACAUACCUGAAGUCAGCAUCGUCCAAGAUCUUCUCAGCUUUCCACUGCUUGAUGGGCCACUUGGACAGUAUCGCAUUCCCGUACUCCGGCGCCCAACUCUCUGCAAACACGUACUUCAUGCCCAGCCCCUCCGCCAAGUCCGACAGCGGCUUCAUCCCUUUCUCCUCUUCUGCCUUCACGUUCUGCAGUCCGAUCACAUCGGCUCCUACCUCUCUCAGAACCUCUAAGAUGCUCCUGUCGGCCCUCAGUUUCUCCGGCUCCUUCCCCAGACCAUGGACGGCAGACAUGCUAAAGCUGUGAGACACAGGAGCUUUGCCUUUCCACGCUGCGGUCGUCUCCUCGCCCACUUGCCUCCGUGAACUCGACUGCUUGCUCCUCUCCACCGAGAUCUCGUUGUCGGGAAGAUUGAUGGACACCCUCAGCUUGGCCUUCGCCAAGCUCGGCUGCUUUAAUAUGCUCUUGGGCCUGUCGUUGGCCGCCUUGCACCGCAUGUCAAGCUCCUGCUCGGCUCCGAGACACCUCCCGGACUUGGGGACGGCAGGCGCCAUCGAAAACAUGGCGGCGUUGAAGGUAGCAAGCCGAAUUGGCCUGGUCGAUUCGGGGACGCCAAUCAGGUCACCGGACCGGACCGCAGGCUGGUGACGACUGCCACAGACGGCUUCACUUUCCUGCGUUGGGCGGCCGAAUCUAUAGAUCGGUACAGUCGUCUUGGCUCGGCGGCGCUUGAGGGGCCACCGGUGUAGGGAACAGAGGCGGCGGAGCUUGAGGGUGAUCAUUCUGAGCAUUGGGGUAAAGUGGUCAGAGCAGGAGAGAGGUGGUGGCUCCCUUGAAUUGGAGGAGGACAAGAAGCCUGCUAUGGCUUUGGACAAACCAUAGCUCUUCCUUCCUCUUCCCCUGCUUCCUCUUCCUGCACUGCUGGAUGACAUGGGAUGGGAGAAGGAAAAGUGAUUAUUAAUGUAAUUAGUAUUAUUAGGUUUAGUUAGAGAGGUGGACUAAGUAGCCUUCAUCCUCCCAAGGUUCCUUCUUUUUUGUGUGUGGAACAGAACAGUUCGACAGAUGUCGAGGAGAUAACGGAGGGAAAGAUAAUUAUAUGCCCUCCCAACUGCCCCAAAGAUGGUGAGGGUCCUCCACAGGUCCAUUGGCCAGCAGGGUGAUGGUGUGAUGCCUCCUUUUCAAGGGCAGAAACAACUGGCUGCCUCAACCACUCCAAUGCAUGCAACCAGGAUCCUUCUUAGUCUUGCUGUGUUAGCUCACUGUCUUGUUCAGGCAAUAGAAAACUCACAAUAAGAGAGAGAGAGAGAGAGAGAGAGAGAGAGAGAAGAGAGAGAGAGAGAGAUGACUCAUAUGACAAGGGGUGCAGCAGCAUGGACCCUAUCUGCAAUCAAGAGCAGUAUGUACAAUGUGGAUCAGAGCAAUAACUUUCAGUUUGAAGCAACUGAGGCUACAGGUUAUGCAUGCAGGUUUGGAGUGCCAGGACGCAGAUUAUGGUCCCCUUGGGAGAGAGGCCAGCCAUGAACCCCACUGCAGAAAACAGAGAAACAUGUUUUCAUUUACCUAAGACCUUGUCAGCAGCCGCAACCUUCAUCUCAAGCUUGGAUCUUUCUUUAAGCAUAAGGCAAGCUGGCCUUGAAUCCAUACAAAUGCAUGUUGUCAAGAAGCACUUGGAUUUUUUUGUUCUUCCUUCCUAUUCAGGGGAACUCAAACCAGUGGUUGGGGAAGAAGAGGCUGCAAAUACUGAAGUAGAGAAACAAGAGGCGAAAGAGAGAAAGGUAAAGAAAAGGAUAGAAAGAAAAGAGAAAAAGAAGGAAAAGGGCAAUGGCCAGAAAUAAAGCUUGGAAAGAGACAACCCACAAAGCCAUUGUGCCUUUAGAAUCCAUGAGAAUUCAGUCAUUCUACUGUUACAGACCCUAACUUCCUUUUCAAAUUGAGUCAGAUUUAACCAAAGAAUUCCGAUCUGAGCUAUCCUCUGACGAGUAAAGAUGAGAGAAACAACAUGUUUACAUGUUCAGCUAUCAGUUGGAGAGUGCACAGGACAGUGCCUUGGCAGCUUCAAAGAAGAAAGAGAGAGAGAGAGAGAGAGAGAGAGAGAGGAGGGCUUCUUUCCAUGCACUUUGCACCAUAUCAUCACGCAAGACACUGCAACAGUGGAGCCGCUUGCGACUGCUUGCCGUGCAUCACCCUCAACAUCGAUCAUGCAGUACAUAUGAUACCUAGUUUUUGGCAUUUAGCCACUGCUCUUUGGACAUCAGCAAGGACAAGACAUGCUCUCAUCUCAUAAAAUUCAUGCUUGAUGGUGGAAGGGUGGCCCAAAUCUUGCUCAAGCUGCUUGGCUUCAAUUUGCUGCUGGCUUUGAGGAUAGCUUAGUGGACCUUUUGUUUCACUUUGUGAAAUCGAAAGCACUAGUCGACAAGGCCAUCCCAGUAUCUGUUCUUGCACAUCUCAAAGCCCUGGAAUCAACUUUUCUCUGGGAUCGAACAUAAAGGCUGUGGCAGCAAAAAGGUCAAACUGUUGUUAAGUCUACACCAAAUGACCCAUUGAGUGAAACAAAUCUAUCUUAGCUUGUCAAACAGUAGAAUUUGGGUCAUGCCAAGUGUUAACUCAAAGAUCAGUACUAAGAUGGAUGUUGUUAAGCUCUGGAGCAAAAGGCUCCUUCUCUAUUAGACAUUGGGUUGACCAUGCAAACAAGUAUGGCUGGUGCUGUUUACCCUCC